rnacentral:rRNA from 1 species
GAUGAACGCUGGCGGUAUGCUUAACACAUGCCAGUCGAACGGACUCUUCGGAGUUAGUGGCGGACGGGUGAGUAACGCGUGAGAAUCUGGCUUUGGGUUCGGGACAACCACUGGAAACGGUGGCUAAUACCGGAUGUGCCGAGAGGUAAAAGAGAAAUUGCCUGAAGAUGAGCUCGCGUCUGAUUAGCUAGUUGGUGAGGUAAAGGCUCACCAAGGCAGCGAUCAGUAGCUGGUCUGAGAGGAUGACCAGCCACACUGGGACUGAGACACGGCCCAGACUCCUGCGGGGGGGAAGAGGGGGGGAUUUUCCGCAAUGGGGGAAAGCCUUGCGGAGCAAUACCGCGGGGGGGAAGGGGGCUCUUGGGGUGUAAACCUCUUUUCUUUGGGGAAGACAAAAUGACGGUAACUAAGGAAUCAGCAUCGGCUAACUCCGUG